rnacentral:ncRNA from 1 species
GAGUAGUGAUAAAUCAUGUGAAAAAUAUGAUUGCCAAAAGUUCAAGGGUUUUUACAUUUAAUAAGUUUACAUAGAGUGAAUUGGUCCCCAACAAAUCCCUAAAAGGGCUUAGUCCGAUGGAUACACAAAAGUAACAAAGUUGCUUUGGCUACUACUAAAACACAAAUUACUUAUGAAUUAGAUGAUUACUCAGGUCGAUGAACUUUUAGAAAAAAACUUGGUGGAAUUGGAAGAAUCUUGAUUCUUCUAGUGUAUUACAAACUAUAUUCUAAACCAACACAGGUGAACAAGUAGAAUAUACUAAGGCACUUGAAAAAAACAUAUUGAAGGAACUUGGCAAAAUGACCUUGUAACUUCAGGAGAAGGGGUGCUUUCCUAGAAAAAUAGUACAUAUCAGGGAAUAGCAACUGUUUAUUAAAAACACAGGAUUCUGCUAAGUAGAAAUAUGAUGUAUAGAAUCUGACACCUACUCGGUGCUGGAAGGUAAAAAAGAGAAGUAUCAUAGGCUUUGAAUGGAAGCCUCGAUAAACAACAGCAAUAACUUUAAUUAUCUUAAGAUAGCAAAAUUCUUUGUCACAUAUGUAGUGACUUGUACAAAUGGUAAAUUAGCUACUUUUUGUCAAAAUUUUAUACAAAG